rnacentral:rRNA from 1 species
GACGACCGCUUUUGGAGUUCGAUUAAGCCAUGCGAGUCGAGAGCUUUCGGAGCUCGGCAUACUGCUCAGUAACACGUGGAUAACCUGCCCUAUUGUCUGGAAUAACCUCGGGAAACUGAGAACAAUGCCGGAUAGCCCACAAUGCCUGGAACGGUUUGUGGGUGAAGAUAGGAUGGGUCUGCGGCGUAUCAGGUCGUAGGGGGUGUAAUGGACCUCCUAGCCAUCGACGCGUACGGGUGUUGGGAGACAUAGCCCGGAGAUGGAUUCUGAGACACGAAUCCAGACCCUACGGGGUGCAGCAGGCGCGAAAACUUCACACUGCAGGAAACUGUGAUGAGGGAACUCCAAGUGCUAUCACUAUGUGGUAGCUUUUCUUAACUAUUAAUCGGUUUUGGAAUAAGGGCUGGGAAAGACCGGUGCCAGCCGCCGCGGUAAUACCGGCAGCUCAAGUGGUCGUCGCUUUUAUUGGGCCUAAAACGUCCGUAGCCUGUUUGGUAAAUCUGUGGGUAAAUCAACCAGCUUAACUGGUUGAAUUCUGCAGAGACUGCCAGACUAGGGACCGGGAGAGGUGUGGGGUACUCUAGGGGUAGGGGUAAAAUCCUGUCAUCCUUAGAGGACCACCAGUUGCGAAGGCGCCACACUGGAGCGGAUCCGACGGUCAGGGACGAAGCCUAGGGGCACGAACCGGAUUAGAUACCCGGGUAGUCCUAGGUGUAAACGCUGUGAACUUGGUGUCGGGGAUCCGUAAUGGGUUCUCGGUGCCGGAGUGAAGAUGUUAAGUUCACUGCCUGGGGAGUACGGUCGCAAGGCUGAAACUUAAAGGAAUUGGCGGGGGAGCACUGCAACGGGAGGAGCGUGCGGUUU